AAUUUUACGAUUUUUCUGACAGGAAAACGAGGGUUAUCUUGAGUAGCUCUGGUUGUAGCCGUUUGCACAUAGUAUUCCCGGUUGAAUUGCGACGGUUCGGGCCCAGAAUGAUAAAUGUGGCAACGAGCCCGUCGUCGCUGAACGACAUGUCAGCAGGCAAAAAAAGAAAAGAAUUAUGCACGGGGGUCUUCACUCUUUUUGUUCGAUAUCACCAUUU
ensembl:ncRNA F14B8.9 ncRNA